rnacentral:lncRNA from 1 species
CCUCAUUCCAUGUAUGAUGGAGUUAGAAGGGAGAUCUUUUGCAAGGUAGUGGAUAACAUCAUCUUUGUUGCCACUGAGUUAGAAUUACCUGAAAGACUAACUUAAGGAUGUGUCCAAGAGUGUUUCUGGAGAGGGGUCACUGAGGUGGGAAGACCUAACUCCAAAUGGGCAGCAUCAUUCCAUGGACUGGGAUCCUGGACUGAAAAACAGGAGGAGCCCCCCAAAGCAAGGGAACCAACUUACUAUGGACCAAAUGCUGGAGCCAAAAUAAAUGUGUCUUCCUUUAAGUUGGCUUCCUCGGGCAUUUUGUGACGUGGAAAGCUGACCAACACAGAGUCUGAAGAGUCCUCGUAUACAGUUGUGUUUGCUUGAAAGACUCUAAUCUCCAGAGUGGAUCCCACCGUGAGGAAUUAAUUAU